GGAGAGAUGCGGGCGUCUAAAUGCAGUCGGACUGUGUCUCAGAAGGCGCGCGUUCGGCCAGUAUCCCCAUCUCCGUUUCCUCAACAAAGAACAACCCCUUGGGGGCCUAGAAGGCAUCUCAGCACUUCAGUUUCCCUGAGUGGUGAGGCUGAGCCAGAAGAAGGGCCAGUGUUGUGAGUGACCACAGUGAGAUCUGCAGACCCAGCUUCCUGCACUGACUCCCCCGGCCCCUUUACUGAAGACGAAUCCUGGGCCAGCCCCCAACUGUGUGUGUGCUCUACCUGGUCCCACAUGGUGUUUGUUUGUUUGUAUUUAGAGACAAGGUCUCUGUCACCCA